ACAGAAUCCAAUUAAAUGAGACUCCUCCAUUUUAUAUGUAUGACAUAUUAUUUUGAUAAUAAAUUAAAAGCAGGAAGCCAAAAGAGGGUUCAAAUUACAUUAUGCUCCCAGCAUACUAAGGGAGGAUCCACCUUUGGGAAUGCCUCAAGCAGUUAUUUCUGAGACACUCAUUAUAUUUCCGGCAAUUUGGAAUCUGGAAAGAAGGAGUCAAUAAGCAAACAGGUUAACUGCUAGACCUAGGUUAGCACUAGAUCUCAAAAAGUGCUAAACCAGACAUGGGGAAGUGUUAUACCAUUGAUCACAGAGAUGCCCUUCCUGUUACUCAAGAAGCACAGUCAUUCUCAAAGCCAGGAUUGCUGGGGAGACAACAACGCCGCAGGUGAUCUGGAGGCUCCUGGAGGACCUCAGCGACUCAGGUCCAGUCCAAGGAGGGCCGCAGAUCAGGCUGAAGAAGGAUGGAUCCACAUGCUUAGAGGAGAUCGAGAAAUGCAGUUUCCUAGGCUGCUGUAAUAAAG
rnacentral:lncRNA from 1 species